rnacentral:rRNA from 1 species
UACGGGGGGGAGCAAGCGUUGUUCGGAUUUACUGGGCGUAAAGGGCGCGUAGGCGGCCACCGCAAGUCGAUUGUGAAAUCUCCGGGCUUAACCCGGAAAGGUCAACCGAUACUGCGGGGCUAGAGUGCAGAAGGGGCAACUGGAAUUCUCGGUGUAGCGGUGAAAUGCGUAGAUAUCGAGAGGAACACCUGCGGCGAAGGCGGGUUGCUGGGCCGACACUGACGCUGACAGCGCGAAAGCCAGGGGAGCAAACGGG